UCAAGCGAGAGAUGGCAUGUGGGGGAUGCCUGGGCACAGAGAGGCGAUGAAGGCCGUGGUAAGCUGCGAUAAGCUCGGGGGAGUGGCACACACGCGGUGAUCCCGAGAUGGCCGAAUGGGGCAACCCGGCGGGGCGCGAGUCCCGUCAUCUGCGCGAGCAGAAGCGAACCCUGGGAACUGAAACAUCUCAGUACCGGGAGGAAGAGAAAUCAACCGAGAUGCCCUGAGUAGUGGCGAGCGAAAGGGGCGGAGCCUAAACCGACGUGCGUGCAUGUCGGGGUUAUAGGACCUACGGACGCGAUGGGCGAAAGCAGCUGAACUCCCUUGGAACGGGGGGCCGCAGACGGUGAGAGCCCGGUAGGCGAAGCUGAGGUGCCGAUCGUAGUAGAGUUCCUGAGUACGGCGGGACGCGAGAAAUCCCGUCGGAAGUUGGGGGGACCACCCUCCAAGGCUAAAGACUCCUCUGUGACCGAUAGUGGACGAGUACCGUGAGGGACAGGUGAAAAGCACCCCAGUGCGGGGAGUGAAAGAGAUCCUGAAACCACAUGCCAACAAGCGGUCGGAGGUUGGCCAUGGCGCGAGCUGUGGCACGACUGACGGCGUGCCUUUUGCAUUAUGAUCCGGCGAGUUACGCCUCAGGCGCGAGGUUAAGUGGCUGAGCCACGGAACCAGAGCGAACGCGAGUCCUGCAGAGGGCGAUUAGAGUGCCUGGGGGUAGACCCGAAGCCAGGGCGAUCUAUCCAUGAGCAGGGUGAAGCGUCGGUAACACGACGUGGAGGCCCGCACCGGUAUGGGUUGAAAACCGUUCGGAUGACUUGUGGAUAGGGGUGAAAGGCCAAUCAAGCCUGGAGAUAGCUGGUUCUCCCCGAAAUCUAUUUAGGUAGAGCCUCAGUGCAUGUUCCUGGGAGGUAGAGCGACUGGAUGGGCGCGGGCCGGCGACGCUGGUACCAACCCCAACCAAACUCCGAAUGCCCAUGGAAUGGACGCUGGGAGGCAGUCUGCGAGCGAUAAUGUUCGUAGGCGAGAGGGAAAGAACCCAGAGCCACAGCUAAGGCCCCGAAGUGGCCGCUGAGUAUAGCGAAGGAUGUGUCGUUGCCGUGACAACCAGGAGGUUGGCUUAGAAGCAGCCAUUCCUUUAAAGAGUGCGUAAUAGCUCACUGGUCCAGCGAAGAUGCGCCGAGAAUGGUCGGGAUUAAGCGGCCCGCCGAAGCUUGGCCUUCACACGUAUGUGUGAGGGGUAGGGGAGCGUUCUCAUCUGCGGUGAAGCGGUCGUGGAAACGAGCCGUGGAGCGAUGAGAAGUGAGGAUGCCGGAAUGAGUACGCGCAAAUGCGGGUGAGAACCCCGCACACCGGAAACCCAAGGGUUCCAGCGCCAUGGCAAUCAGCGCUGGGUGAGGCGGAUCCUAAGGCGAGGCCCCAGAGGCGUAGCUGAUGGUAAACAGGUCAAGAUUCCUGUCCGUCUCGAUAUUCGUUGAAGCCGUCAGGGACCCAGGAACAAGAUGACCGUGAGCUUGUGGAUUGCUCAUGUAACCGAGUAGGCGCAAGCCGAGACGGGAUGCCGAGGAGCGCAGCGAUGCAUUCCAAGGGUUGUGGCGUCGACUGGCAAGAAAAGCUGACGGGGGAGGGUAUCGAGGCUCCGUACCGUAAACCGACACAGGUGGGUAAGGCGAGUAGCCUCAGGUGAACGAGUGAAACGUGGUCAAGGAACUCGGCAUAAUGAUCCCGUAACUUCGGAAGAAGGGAUGCCUUGAUGAGUCAGGGGAACACCCGAAGCUUGUCGAGGCCGCAGAGAAUCGGCUCAAGCGACUGUUUAGCAAAAACACAGGUGCGUGCCAAGCCGCAUAAGGCGCCGUAUACGCACUGACGCCUGCCCGGUGCCGGAAGGUUAAGGGGAGAGGUUAGCCGCAAGGCGACGCCUUGAGCCGAAGCCCCGGUAAACGGCGGCCGUAACUAUAACGGUCCUAAGGUAGCGAAAUUCCUUGUCGGGU
rnacentral:rRNA from 1 species